rnacentral:rRNA from 1 species
UACGAAGGGUGCAAGCGUUACUCGGAAUUACUGGGCGUAAAGCGUGCGUAGGCGGUUUGUUAAGUCUGUCGUGAAAGCCCUGGGCUCAACCUGGGAAUUGCGAUGGAUACUGGCAAGCUAGAGUACGGUAGAGGAUGGUGGAAUUCCCGGUGUAGCGGUGAAAUGCGUAGAGAUCGGGAGGAACACCCGUGGCGAAGGCGGCCAUCUGGACCAGUACUGACGCUCAUGCACGAAAGCGUGGGGAGCAAACAGG